rfam:Brachypodium distachyon strain Bd21 chromosome 2, whole genome shotgun sequence.
AUAGUAUUCCCUCCGUUCCAUAAUUCUUGUCGAAAUAUUACAUGUAUCUAGACACCUUUUAGGAAUAGAUACAUCCAUUUUUGUGAAAAUUUGAGACAAGAAUUAUGGAAAGGAGGUAGUACUAC